rnacentral:misc_RNA from 1 species
GAUGAAGAACGUAGCGAAAUGCGAUACGUAUUGUGAAUUGCAGAAUUCAGUGAAUCAUCGAAUCUUUGAACGCAUAUUGCGCUCUCUGGUAUUCCGGAGAGCAUGCUUGUUUGAGUAUCAGUAAACACCUCAACUUCCAUAUCUUUUUUGAAAUGGGAGUUGGACUUGAGUGAUCCCAACGCUUUUCCUCACCGAAAAGUGGCGGGUUACUUGAAAUGCAGGUGCAGCUGGACUUUUCUCUGAGCUAUGAGCAUAUCUAUUUAGUCUGCCUAAAAAACAGAUUAUUCCCUUUGCUGCAGCUAACAUAAAGGAGAUUAGUUCUUGUGUUGACUGAUGCAGGAUUCACAAAGACAGGCUUCGGCCGACUUUGUAAACUCGAUCUCAAAUCAAGUAAGACUACCCGCUGAACUUAAGCAUAUCAAUAAGCGGAGGA